UACAGAGGUCCCAAGCGUUGUUCGGAUUCACUGGGCGUAAAGGGUGCGUAGGUGGCGAGGUAAGUCGGAUGUGAAAGCUCGGAGCUCAACUCCGAAAUGGCAUUGGAAACUACCUUGCUCGAGGGUUGGAGGGGGGACUGGAAUUCUCGGUGUAGCAGUGAAAUGCGUAGAUAUCGAGAGGAACACCAAUGGCGAAGGCGAGUCCCUGGACAACUCCUGACACUGAGGCACGAAAGCUAGGGGAGCAAACAGG
rnacentral:rRNA from 1 species